CACUGAGCCAUCUCACCAGCC
rnacentral:piRNA from 1 species